UUUUUUUAAUUCUGCGCGGUCAUAGGAUUUCGUAUUAGAAUCAGACAUUCGUAACUCAGUGUCAUUUUCAGGGCUAUCGAUUUUACAAUUUCCUUCUCUUCAGAGUCCGAUGAAUCGGCAUAUGUUAAAGCUAAUAGGCCAAGUGACGAGGGCGCUUUUUGUGCCUUUUCGGAAACCACACCUACACUGUUUUCUUUUUCCACCAGCGUCAAAAACACGUCCACUGUGUCUUUCUAAGCAUCAAAGCUGCAAAAUCGAGACUUCCAAUCUUGGAUUUGAGUCUUAGCUACUGAUUGGAUCACGACAUAAUGGGGAAGUUGAUGUAUUCUCUAUUCUCUUUUUUUCUUUCUCUUCAUCUCUCUCUCUACCUGUCUCUCUCUCUGUGGUUGCCCAGAGCCCUCCGCCAUCGCGGCUGCUCCCCACCUUGCGCCGCCGCUCCCCUCACCUCCUUGUGCUGCCGCCGUCGCUGCUCCGCCGCCGCCUUGUGCCGCUGCUCCGCCGCCGCCUUGCGCCGCUGCUCCGCCACGUCCUUGUGCCGACCGUCGUUGCUCCUCCCACCGCCUUGAAUACCGUAUUAAACCAUCCACUUCACCUUUUUAAGUUACUUUUUUAAUUUAUGAAUGUCCAUGUAUUUUUAAUUUAUUUUUUUAAACUCUGAAUUAUUACUAUUUCACCUUUUUUAAUUGUUUUUUUUUUUUGAUGAAAACUAACUGAAUUCGAAAUUUUUAAAUCGUGAUUCGACAAUUUGUAGUCAGAUCUAAUGGUGAAUUUCAGAUCUGGAACCGGUGGUGUUUGAUUUAUAUAUAUUUACUGCAUUUAUAAAUAAAAAACCAGAUCUACUAUGUUUUCGAAUUCAUUUGGUUUUCAUCAAAAAAAAAAAAACAAUUAAAAAAGGUGAAAUAGUAAGAAUUCAGAGCUUAAAAAAAUAAAUUAAAAAUGGAUGGACAUUCGUAAAUUAAAAAAAAAUAACUUAAAAAGGUGAAGUGGAUGGUUUAAUACGGAGUUCAAGGCGGUGGAAUUGAGCAACGACGGCCGGC